UUCUAACGCUUCACGCGCACUCUUUGCUGUCGCAUCUCUCAAAAUAAUGAAAAAAUCGUCUUCAUUAUAUAUCUGCUGCUAACUUAACAUUGAACGAUUAACAUUACAUCAUUUCAUUUUUAUGAGACACAAUUAUCAUAAUACUACAUGAAAUAAAAUCUUCUACAUAUAUUAUGCUUUCGACAACUUCGAACAAGUUGCAAUUUUUAAGGAAUUUUUCCUACAUUUAAUAACAAAUAACUGUACUGAAACGUUCUAUCAAUUUUUGACAUGAUUAAACUUAAAACCCAAAAGCUCAUUCAUGAAACAUAAUUUCUAGGCAACGCCAACCUGUCGCUGUCCAAUCAAUCUCAGUUUCUGCUGGUCGGACUGUCCAGUCUUGCCUCGCUGGAGAAGCAAGUUGCGGAAUCUGCUGCAGAAGAUGAAUGCUGUGAAGGGGAAAACCUUCUGCAAAGCUUCCGUUGCAAUAUGAUUGUGACCGGAUGGCCUGCGUUUGAGGAGAAAAGGUUAAAAGCCAUCAAAAUCGGUGGAGUUCUUUUAAAAAGUGACGGGCCAUGCACCAGGUGCCAAAUGGUCUGCAUUGACCAAAGAAAAGGUGAUAAAACGGUAGAGCCGUUGAGGACCAUAGCUGCUGCGGGUCAGGGAAAAAUGCAGUUCGGAAUUUACUUCUCACAAUUUAUUGCGAUCCAUGAGAGACAAACACAAUAUCUUUGUUGGCUCACCAGUUAAGAAAAUUGAAGUUGUUUAACAAAAAAUUUCAUUUAUAAAAUUUAUUGAAAAAGAAAAUUAAAAUUUUACAGCAUAAAUAUUGUGGUGAAAAUAAAAAACAAAUGCUUUUUUAA